rnacentral:lncRNA from 10 species
GAGGGGAGGCACAGCCAGGUCAAGGAUGAUAAGGGGCGAGGUGAUGGGAGAUGAGCACCACGCAGGUAUGAGAGCCUCUCAUGCUGUCCACCACAGAGAAGCAAUGGGUCCAGCUGCACUGCGGGCAGAGAACAGGCAGGAGCAGGAGGCUGGCCCCUGCUUCCUCUGCUGCACCCUGACACACUGCUCUGUUCCUUCCUGUUUGUGCAUCCGUCUCUCCCACUGGGGCUCCCAGGGGCCAGGCUGGGGCUGAUGCCACUUUGCAUUUAUGGACAUCUGUGCCUAGCAAAGCUCUUGUCCCCAGCUGCCACAGCAAAGUGGCAGAGAGAGUAGUCAUCCCCCACUAUCUGUUCUCUUCUUCCUGCUCAGUCACAGGCUGCUGACUUUGAGCUGCACCAGUGGCUUCCCAGAAUCAGAGCUGCAUUUCUCUCUCCCCUGCAGCUAGAGGUACCCUUAUGGCUACAUUCUGGCAAUGAAAAUGUUGUGUGCAACAUCAGGGAAGGAACCCUAAACAGAAGGGGUGUGCCAUUCUUUAUUACUUCCUCUAUCUUGCUGGCUGGAAAGUGGAUGUAAUGGCUGGAGCUCCAACAGCCGUAUUGGACCGUGAGGAGACCUUGGCCAUGGGAGCCUCAAAUAGUGGAGCUGAAGACAGAAGCAACCUGCAUCCACAAUGCCUGCAGCACAGGCCUCCCUGGGCUGCCCACCUCCAGACUUCUUAGGUGUGAGUAAGGAAAAACAAACAAACAAACAAAAAAACAACUAUCCUGUUCAGAGGC